AGGAAUAGUUUCCCAUUCCUUKUGCUUUAUUUUCACAAUUGUCUCUUGCAGAAGGGAACCAUGAAGAGGAGCUUGGAGUGGGCAAGGGAGAGMCUGAUAAAGCAGCAGAGAAUACCUGAUUCAUCAAGUAUCAAUUGAUUUUGUUGAUUCUCACCUGGUUGGCAUGCAUGCACAACACGACAAGAUCCCUUUAAUCUGARACUCUUAAUGUUUGACGUCAGGCAAAAUGUCUUCAYCCACCGUAGGACCGAGUGCCGCAGGUUGGCAUUUGACUGCAGUGUCUGUGGGUGUACCAGGAAAGGACGUAAGAAGUUAUGAUAUCGAAGCUUCUUACUGCAGCCCAGUCGAUAUCCAUAAAAAAAAAAAAAAUGGAACAAUAGAUUGUGCUACACUAUGCACAACUCCAGUUUGCCUAUUGUCCCAACAAAUGUCAAUUAUACAUUUUUAAAUACAUCAGAGUGCAUUUUCUUUUAUAGCUCUGCUUUCAAUGCCAUCCUUACCCACAAGCUGGUUAGCAGGCUCUGGGUGUAAAUCCUGUAAUAACAAAUUKGAUUUUUUACAUUAUAAGAAUGUGUAUCUCCAGAAUGGACCCGACACUACCACGUUACACACAAGUACAUGAAGGAGCUGUGGGACCUGACAUAAUGGUGAUAGGACAACAGUCUCAGCAUUAGCAAAGCAAAGUAGAUGGUGAUACUUGACCAUUCUCCCAUCUACUGUACAUUGACAUGGAGAUGAUCAGCAGCUUCAAGUUCCUGGGCACCCUGAUAUCCUUUUCUGCCCUUAGUUACUUCACUCAAAGUCCCACUUGUGCUUCUCCACUACCCUCAAACUUGCUGCACCCACGACCUGUGUACCAACUACAGUGUCUUAUUGCCAUAACACAUGUAAAUGAAAUGUCCAUAUUUACUGUAAGAUUUAUUUAUGGUAACAUUGCACAUGUUGUAACGGUCCCUUGACAUACAUGACUUAACUACUUUGCAUAAUGCUCAGUUUACCCACUAAGAAAUCAUACAUUUAUUUAAAUUUUAAAGCUGCAUUAUGUAUUACUGUGUCCAAUUGAUUCUGUUUGGUUGUAAUGUUGUUGAAAACUUUCACUACACAACUUUUUUUUGCUGAUGGACAAUCCUGUCGGAAACUUUCAUAAUAUCAAUUAUUUUGGGACACCUAAUUAACAUUGACUGCAGUAUUCCGAACAUGCUAGGUGGUCAUGCAAUAAACGUUUUGGAUAAUUCCCCUUAAA